AACGAACGCUGGCGGCAUGCCUAACACAUGCAAGUCGAACGAGACCUUCGGGUCUAGUGGCGCACGGGUGCGUAACGCGUGGGAACCUGCCCUUAGGUUCGGAAUACCUCCCCGAAAGGGGUGCUAAUACCGGAUAAUGUCUUCGGACCAAAGAUUUAUCGCCUUUGGAUGGGCCCGCGUUGGAUUAGCUAGUUGGUAGUGUAAAAGCCUACCAAGGCGACGAUCCAUAGCUGGUCUGAGAGGAUGAUCAGCCACACUGGGACUGAGACACGGCCCAGACUCCUACGGGAGGCAGCAGUGGGGAAUAUUGGACAAUGGGCGAAAGCCUGAUACAGCAAUGCCGCGUGAGUGAUGAAGGCCUUAGGGUUGUAAAGCUCUUUUACCCGGGAUGAUAAUGACAGUACCGGGAGAAUAAGCGCCGGCUAACUCCGUG
rnacentral:rRNA from 1 species